rnacentral:snRNA from 1 species
AGUAUAAGGUUUGCUGACUUGAA